GCAUUGUUGAGAAGUCCCACAAUAGGACGAAACGGCCGUCCAGUGU
rnacentral:hammerhead_ribozyme from 1 species